CCUACGGGAGGCAGCAGUGGGGAAUAUUGCACAAUGGGGGGAACCCUGAUGCAGCGACGCCGCGUGAGUGAAGAAGUAUUUCGGUAUGUAAAGCUCUAUCAGCAGGGAAGAAAAUGACGGUACCUGACUAAGAAGCCCCGGCUAACUACGUGCCAGCAGCCGCGGUAAUACGUAGGGGGCAAGCGUUAUCCGGAUUUACUGGGUGUAAAGGGAGCGUAGACGGUUAUGCAAGUCUGAAGUGAAAGCCCAAGGCUCAACCAUGGGACUGCUUUGGAAACUGUAAAACUGGAGUGCAGGAGAGGUAAGCGGAAUUCCUAGUGUAGCGGUGAAAUGCGUAGAUAUUAGGAGGAACACCAGUGGCGAAGGCGGCUUACUGGACUGUAACUGACGUUGAGGCUCGAAGGCGUGGGGAGCAAACAGGAUUAGAUACCCCUGUAGUC
rnacentral:rRNA from 1 species